AGUGAACGCUGGCGGUAGGCCUAACACAUGCUAGUCGAACGGCAGCACAGUAAGAGCUUGCUCUUACGGGUGGCGAGUGGCGGACGGGUGAGGAAUACAUCGGAAUCUACUUUUUCGUGGGGGAUAACGUAGGGAAACUUACGCUAAUACCGCAUACGACCUACGGGUGAAAGCAGGGGAUCUUCGGACCUUGCGCGAUUGAAUGAGCCGAUGUCGGAUUAGCUAGUUGGCGGGGUAAAGGCCCACCAAGGCGACCAACCGUAGCCGGACUGAGAGGAUGAUCAGCCACACUGGAACUGAGGCACGGUCCAGCCUCCUGCGGGGGGCAUCAGUGGGGAAAGUUGGACAAUGGGCGCAAAGCUGAUCCAGCCAUACCGCGUGGGUGAAGGAGGCCUUCGCGUUGUAAAGCCCUUUUGUUGGGAAAGAAAAGCAGCAGGUUAAUACCCCGCUGUUCUGGCGGUACCCAAAGAAUAAGCACCGGCUAGCUUCGUG
rnacentral:rRNA from 1 species